GGCAGGAUCCACCCCUUCCUACACCUCAUUUAAAGGUUGGCAGUGGGGGUGAGGGUGUCUUGCUAGAGAUCCCCGUAUACCUGAGUUCUUCCAAAGAAGAAACUACAGGCAAGAAGACUCCAGUAAAGACAAGGCACAUAGUCACAAAUAAAGGAAGACUUCAACAGUAACAGCAAAAUUAAAGUUCUGUGCCCUCAUGGUGGCUCCUUUUUGGCUGGUGUCCUCACUAACAAAUCAGACUUCUCUUGGCUGUAAAAGCUCCUGGGGGCUUGCAUGAACACUUGGCUGUUUUGACUAUCUGGCCUGGAGAAGCUGGAGGCUUGGUUUCCAGAAAGAAGAGUUGGUGCUGAGAGGUGGGUUCCAGGGAGAAAAUGAGGCCCAAAGAGAACAUGAAGAUCCUGACUGAAGGACAGGUCUGGGAAGUGAGGGAAGAUUCUGGAGGUGAGGUAAAUGCAUGGAGACCAAUGACAGGAGAUGCCCAGCACCAAAUAAUCGUGCCUGAGACCAGAAACUGCAAGCAGAAUCGUAGCAGAAUCCAGCAGGAGUUUCUGCCCAACCUGCUCUAGCCAACGACCUGCCUGCAGGGAAAUCAAGACCUUGGGAACAUCAUGGGGAAGCUGUAACAGCCGUAGAGAAUAAGCAUAGAAAAAAACAAACCCUGCUGAAGUUUUUGCAGAGGUGAUAUUCUUUGUUUUCCCAAGGAUUCUGGAUGAACCUUAAGGCGAGCUAUGAGAUGGAGAAGGAAGCAGAGAGGGGGAAGUGCUGCUGUUAAUUUGGCAUUCAUCUUAAGGAGCUGAAUGGCAGCCAGAAGUAGUGCAGAUGGCAUCUCAAUUCCCUCUUCUUUUGAAGAAAAUGUAUUUUUAAUACAGUAACUUUUUGUUUCCAUUAAGACAUUUUUAGCUGUGGAAUAAGGACAGUUAAAGGCAGUAGUUAAACCACCAGCUUUUAGAUGACAUUUCUGAAAGCAGUUUAUUUCCCAGAGUGAUAGAUGUAUGAAACAUAUGGUUUCUUCAAAGCCACAACCAAGGAGCUGGAUAGUAAGGAUGCAGGGGGUUAGUUGGCAGACACCCUAGGAAGGAAGCGAAAGGACACAGAACUGGUGAUAGUGUUGCUUUUGCAUAUGGGUAUGGUGGUGACAGGAGGAUUUGUCUGUAUUAAAUUGUAUUUUACACUGUUCUCAUCAAAUCCAAACUCUAAGCUUGUCCAGAUAAACUGCGUUCCAGACACCUGCUCAGCUUUCUGACACCUGAUUAAAUGCAUAUCUGACUGCCAUCAGGACUGCAAAUCAGCAUGAGGUGAAAGCAUACCAUGCUUUAGGUGUGGUAUAUUAUAAACUAUUGACUCUUUCAGUAAGGGAUCUUUCGGAGAGUAAUUUUUUCAUGAACCUAUUUGUGAAACGUUCUUGUAGGUGAACUCCAAAGCAAAGAUAAAAUUUGAACUAAAAUACACAGACCUAACAAGCUGCCAUGUGCAUUUGCCCAUCAAUAAGGUAAUGCUCAUAUUUUGGUAAUUCAUUGUAUCUCUACUGUGAUCUUCAGACUUCCUAAUAUACUGAAAACAUUCCCAUAGGGCAUGAUUGGCACUGCCAUAGUACAACUCAUGAUUGAUAGCAGUAUGAAUCAGGAAGUGCCACCUGAAAGACUUUAUAAGGGAAGCUAUUUCUUGAAAUCAAUAGUUAAUGUUUUGUUGUUAUUUAUUAGUGUAUUUCAACAACUAAAGAAUCUAGACCUUGAUUUUGGCAGAAAAGCAUUAAGUUGAUAUUAGAACCAUUGCUUCUGCUUCCUCUUGAGAGACAAAAUUCUGAGAUUUCACCAUUAAAUAAGUGAAAGAAUGACUAAAAGGACAUGACAACUGAAAAGGUUAGUUAUUCAAACAUUUUAUUCCCCAAACUAUUAAAUAAAUAACUAGAUAAAUAAAGGAAAGUAUUUGAUAAUGGAGAAGGUUUAUUACUCAAACAUCUUUCCAGAUCUAUCUGUGACCUCUAAAAUUAGGAACCUAUAACUGGUGCUGCUACCUGCAGUGGGUCCUACCCUGGCCUGCUGGCCUAUCCCUUGUACGUGCCUGGCUGCUGCAGGUGCCACUGGGGCAGGACGGGGCUGCCCAUCAGGGGGCACCAGCAUGGCUGCUGCCAGCAUGGCUGCUGCAAGAGAUAAGGUGAGGAGGGCCCGAGGAGCUGCUGCUCUGCUGCCUGUGGGUGCCGGGGAAGCUCCUGCUGUGCAGGGCUGGUUAUAAACCUGGGUCCCGUGUGAGGUGGAGGAGGAGAAGUGGCAGCCGAGGUCUGGCUGCUGCUUGGUGGCAGCAGGGAAGGGUCCAGAGGCUGGCAUGUUUCCCUCUGUGCUGCUGCAGUAGGGACUGGCAGGGCUGAAGCAGCACUGCUUUGGGUCGUGGCUUUCUGAGGGUGCUUGAGUGGUGGGGGCCCCACAGUUGCUGCUGUCUCUGUGCCUUCUUCCUUUGGCACUGCCAGCAGGCUCCUACCUUGCCCAACAGCUGCUCCCUGCAUGGGCUGGGCACCUGGUCUGCUCCUCAGGUGGCUCUCAUUUAGGUCUCCCUGCAGGGCAGAGGCAGUCACCUCUCAUCUCCUUAGGGCAACUCCUUGUUGGCAGUGUUCAGGCAGCUGUGGAUCAUCGCUCUUGAAACAUGGGUGAGAGUAGAAGAGUGACUGAAAAAUGCAAAGGAGGAGAGUUAGUUGCUGUCUGUUUGGAACUGAAAGACAGCAAAAUACAGGAAGUAAGACUUAAUAGCUGAAGGCAAAUAUGGGUAGUAAAAAGGUCUAUUGGUCAGAUUAAUCCCAGAGCUUAGGUUAAGUCAAACAAGAUAUGUUGCAAAUAUAUUGUAAUAAAUAGACUCAUCAUAUCCUGAUUUAUCUUUCUUUUCCGUGGGUUCAAAUUGGGAUAUAACUCAAAUCUAUUUUAUCUAUAUUUCUACUAUUCAGCAAUGCAACCUCUAAAAUACCCAGAAGCAGUCAGAGAAAGAUACAAAGAUCAGAACACUGACUGACGUCCUCCUCUCAUUACCAAAGCUUAUUUUCUUGGAACUUUCAUCCUAUCCACUAGAAUCUUGUGAGAGUUGGUUUAUGUGUGAAGCAACUGACGUACCUUCCUGUGAGCAGCAAAUGCUUCUUCCUUUGCCAGAAACUCAGGAAUGGACAGAGAGAUCUUGUGCAGUCACAGUGUAUUUUGGUGA
ensembl:lncRNA